UAGUAAGAGAACUGCGGGGAGAAAAACAGCAUUUUUGGCAACGUAUGCCCCGGCAUUGUAUGGCAACACGUCCAAUGUUAUAAGGAUAGGCAAUGUUCGAUUGGAUUCGUUUUUUGACAGCUAAACGCGAAUCCAAUCGAUCCAAAAUGGAGUCUCCGCAGUUCUUUUUCUAGAGUUUUUGUAGUAUGCACUAUAGAAUCAGAUACGAUUUACAGGAUAGCUCUAGUAACUUUUAUCCAUAUUGUGUUCACGGGUGGAACAAAUAAAUGUUACAUGAUAAUGUAAUAGAAAAUUUAUAUGUACACAUACAGGCGAAGCGACAGUGUAUUCUCUUUGACACUUUGAACUGAAGAUGGCAACGAAAUGAUUGGUAAUCCUGGGUAUCCUGCGUAACACGUAUCAUCAAAUCUCUUAUCAUCCUAUUGAAUCAUGAUGCUCGGACCUAUAAUCGGCAAAUAUAAAUUAAAUUCGAAGCGCGGUUUGUGUCUGCUAAGGAUACGAGGUUGAAGAUUGCAUUGAAGCUACUUCUGAGUGAAAAUAACUCGUUUAAUAAGACGUCAACCUGGAUAAAAGUUGGCCGUCAUGACAGGACAUGAUCGCUCUAGUAAGUUCUGUAGGAAUAGAAUGAGUACUGUGAACACCCCUCGUAGAGUAAACGUGUGUAGAGAUUAAAUAAACUAUACUGCCAACACUGUUAUCUUACUGCUACUAAUAAUAAA